rnacentral:rRNA from 1 species
UUGACCUCAAAUCAGGUAGGACUACCCGCUGAACUUAAGCAUAUCAAUAAGCGGAGGAAAAGAAACCAACAGGGAUUGCCUUAGUAACGGCGAGUGAAGCGGCAAAAGCUCAAAUUUGAAAUCUAGCACUUUCAGUGUUCGAGUUGUAAUUUGAAGAAGGUAACUUUGGAAUUGGCUCUUGUCUAUGUUCCUUGGAACAGGACGUCACAGAGGGUGAGAAUCCCGUGCGAUGAGAUGUCCAAUUCUAUGUAAAGUGCUUUCGAAGAGUCGAGUUGUUUGGGAAUGCAGCUCUAAGUGGGUGGUAAAUUCCAUCUAAAGCUAAAUAUUGGCGAGAGACCGAUAGCGAACAAGUACAGUGAUGGAAAGAUGAAAAGAACUUUGAAAAGAGAGUGAAAAAGUACGUGAAAUUGUUGAAAGGGAAGGGCUUGAGAUCAGACUUGGUAUUUUGUGUUCCUUAUCCUUCUUGGAUUAGGUUCCUCACAGCUUACCGGGCCAGCAUCGGUUUGGAUGGCAGGAUAAUGACAUUGGAAUGUAGCUUUGCUUCGGUGAAGUGUUAUAGACUUUGUUGAUACUGCCUAUCUAGACCGAGGACUGCGUCU